GAGUUUGAUCCUGGCUCAGGACGAACGCUGGCGGCGUGCUUAACACAUGCAAGUGGAGCGACGAACCAGGGCUUGCCCUGGGGCAGAGCCGCGAACGGGGUGAGUAACACGUGGGUAACCUGCCCAGAUGACCGGGACAACCCGAGGAAACUCGGGCUAAUACCGGAUGUGCUGGCUUCACAUCAGUGAGGUCAGGAAAGGUAGCUUCGGCUUCCGCGUCUGGAUGGGCCCGCGGCCCAUUAGCUUGUUGGUGAGGUAACGGCUCACCAAGGCGACGAUGGGUAGCUGGUCUGAGAGGACGAUCAGCCACACUGGGACUGAGACACGGCCCAGACUCCUACGGGAGGCAGCAGUGGGGAAUCUUGCACAAUGCGCGAAAGCGUGAUGCAGCAACGCCGCGUGCGGGAAGACGGCCU
rnacentral:rRNA from 1 species